rnacentral:lncRNA from 1 species
AUGGCAGCCACCACAGGCUCAGUAGUAAAAGUCCCUUGCAAUUUCCAACUGUUGGAAGAACUCGAAGAAAGCCAGAAAGGAGUAGGAGAUGACACAGUUAGCUGGGGUCUAGAAGAUUACGAAGACAUGACACUUACAAGAUGGACAGGGAUGAUAAUUGGGCCUCCAGGAACAAUUUAUGAAAACCGAAUAUACAGCCUUAAAAUAGAAUAUGGACCUAAAUACUCAGAAGCACCCCCCUUUGUAAUAUUUGUAACAAAAAAUUAAUAUGAAUGGAGUUAAUAGUUCUAAUGGAGUGGUGGACCCAAGAGCCAUACCAGUGCUAGCAAAAUGGCAGAAUUCAUAUAGCAUCAAAGUUGUCCUGCAAGAGUUUCGGCGCCUAAUGAUGUCUAAAGAAAAUAUGAAACUCCCUCAGCCACCUGAAGGACAGUGUUAGAGCAAUUAA